GCCAUCUUCUUCCCUCACGGCCACCGCUUCCGCACGGAAGCUGACACCGCUCGGAGUAGGGGACAAAAAGGACCCAGCGCUCGAAACGCGAAGGACCAACGAAAGGAAGGAGGGAGGAGACAAGGAGAGAGCAGUGCGCAGGCGUGUUCCCUAGGCGCCGGCCCCUGGGAGGAGCAAGUCGUGGGCCGCCUUUGGGCUCAGCGGAUGGAGGCGCGGGGUGGGUUGGAGUCUUAAGGGCACAGACCCGAAUUGCAGGAUUCUACCAAGAUCCCCCAUUGCAUUGCAUUUGUUUUCACUUCCCCUUAGUCUCCUCCAAUCUGUGACAAUUCUUCAGUGUGUCCUUGUCUUUCAAGACUUUAACUUUUGUUAUCUUUUAACAGUUUUGGAAGUUCCACCAAGAUGCCCAGGGGAUUCACCUUACAGAGCCAGGAAACAGAGGCUCAGGGUUGCUAAGAAACUUGCCCACGGUCACAUAGCCAGUAGGAAGCCCAGAGGUGCAAGGUGAACCCGGGUAGUCUGGCUCCAAAGAAUGUGAUCUUCAUCACAAAGCUAUACUUUCUCUGUUUGGGCAGUACUGCUACUGGUUAGGCUCUUGAAACCCCUUUGUAAGUUCCUCCCCUGAUUUGUUAAGGUGAGCCAUAUAUUUGUUUCUGUUUGUUUGUUUGUUUUGCUUUUAUUGAGAUAUAAUUGACAUAUUAUAUUAGUUACAGGUGCACAACAAAAUGAUUUGAUAUUUGAUAUAUUGCAAAAUCAUCACCACCAUAAGUCUAGUUAACAUGUCGCCA